CAAAUUAGAGCUUGUUAAGUUUUUUAUUUACAUUAAAAGGAAAUUUGAUUUAAUCAAAUUAGUUUGA
rnacentral:tRNA from 1 species